rnacentral:rRNA from 1 species
UAAGGAAUAUUGGUCAAUGGAGGCAACUCUGAACCAGCCAUGCCGCGUGCAGGAAGAAGGCCCUAUGGGUCGUAAACUGCUUUUGAACAAGAGAAAACCCCGGUACGUGUACUGGGUUGAUAGUAUUGUUAGAAUAAGCAUCGGCUAACUUCGUGCCAGCAGCCGCGGUAAGACGAAGGAUGCAAGCGUUAUCCGGAUUCAUUGGGUUUAAAGGGUGCGUAGGCGGACUGAUAAGUCAGUGGUGAAAUCUCUCGGCUUAACCGAGAAACUGCCAUUGAUACUGUUAGUCUAGAGUACAGAUGAUGUGGGCGGAAUAUGACAUGUAGUGGUGAAAUACUUAGAUAUCAAGAGGAACACCUGAGGUGAAGACGGGUUGCUGGGCUGACACUGACGCUGAGGCGCGAAAGCCAGGGGAGCAAACGGGAUUAGAUACCCGAGUAGUCCCUGAGCGGGCUGGCAAGGCGCAU